rnacentral:lncRNA from 1 species
UACUGCUAAUCUCCAAAUAGUAGCAAACAGAAGCACCAAUUUGAACCAUAAUGCUCCAGUAUUUUUUCCAAGAAUUAUUACAAAACCAGGUGAAACUUCAGCUGCUAAUCGAAUCGCAACAUCGCUCCAGUAUUUUUUCCAAGAAAUAUUACAAAACAAGGUGAAACUUCAGUUGCUAAUCGAAUCGCAACAUCACUACCUGUAGCUGCCCUGAAUCAGAUUGUACCAAUUAAGUCAAUCACAUUUUUGGAGAAGGGAUAGCAACAAAUUGUAUUAACCGCUUCAGAAGUCAACCUCCAUAAUAGACAAUUUUUGAAUGAGGAGAUAGGAAGACAUAUAUAUGAAGAAGGGGAGGAAGAAGAUAUCGAGCAGAAGCGUCGAGAAAUGGAGAUUUAUCACCAACGCAUAGUAAAACAAGUAAGAAAUCUCGUGAAAGAGAUAGAAAUUGUGAUGGCAGGAUGUGUGUAGACGCUAACAUAAAGAGACCCCCAAUGAGAAUUGCAAAGCAAAAACAAGUUAUGCAACCAACUCUUACAAGGCCUAGUCAUUCGAGGAUCAAGCUUGAGUUUUAAAGCCAUAUUGAGAAAAUUGUUCACAAAUAUGGAGAAAAGAAAGCAGCAAUUAUCUCUUUUUUU